rnacentral:lncRNA from 1 species
CCUCCUUUGGACUUCAGCAGGGCUUCAGGGGAAGACGAAAGCCUGGGGAGAGUGCUGUGCAGUAGAGUGAAAACAGAGAGCUGGUGAGAGAGGAGAUCAGAAUAAAUAUAGUGUGGGUUACCGCACGUACGUAAGUAGGACAGUGCCAGUGCUAGCCAAGCUGCUCCGGUGGCACCGCAGAUCUCUCGAGAUGUUUGCAUGACAGCUCCUUUCCAUACUGCUACGGGAGGUGCAGCGCCAAGUGGCAGACAGACACACUCAAUCCAGGAAGUUUGAACAUGGAAGUGCUUGGGGAGAGGCGGCGCAGGAGAUCCCACCCAUCCCACAUGGUGGUGCCCUGCCCUGCCACCAUCGAAGCAUCCUUGUUCCCUUCAUGCUUGGAAAACCAGACAUACCAAAGGUGUUCCCCAGAGACUUCUGCGAUGCUUCCUCUUGCAGCCUUGGCGUACUUUGAGGAUUAGAAGCUGCCACAGGUUAAACCAUGCGAGUUAAGGCACGUAACACAGCCAGCAUACAACGCAGAUACACAAUGAUGGGCAGAGGUACGAAGCUGG